rnacentral:rRNA from 1 species
UACGGAGGUCUCAAGCGUUGUUCGGAUUCAUUGGGCGUAAAGGGUGCGUAGGUGGCGCCGUAAGUGGGGUGUGAAAUCUCGGGGCUUAACUCCGAAACUGCAUUCCAUACUGCGGUGCUCGAGGACUGGAGAGGAGACUGGAAUUUACGGUGUAGCAGUGAAAUGCGUAGAGAUCGGAAGGAAGACCAGUGGCGAAGGCGGGUCUCUGGACAGUUACUGACGCUGAGGCACGAAGGCGAGGGGAGCAAACGGG